rnacentral:pre_miRNA from 1 species
UUAAAUCAAAUUUGUAUGGAGUUGGAACGUUUGCCUACGUUUGCCGCUAGGGGCGCUGUUCCAACUGCAUACAAAUUUGAGUUA